rnacentral:misc_RNA from 1 species
GAUGAAGAACGUAGCGAAUCGCGAUACGUAAUGUGAAUUGCAGAAUUCAGUGAAUCAUCGAAUCUUUGAACGCACAUUGCGCCCGCUGGUAUUCCGGCGGGCAUGCCUGUUCGAGCGUCAUUUCAACCCUCAAGCCCCCGGGUUUGGUGUUGGGGAUCGGCUCUGCCCUUCUGGGCGGUGCCGCCCCCGAAAUACAUUGGCGGUCUCGCUGCAGCCUCCAUUGCGUAGUAGCUAACACCUCGCAACUGGAACGCGGCGCGGCCAUGCCGUAAAACCCCAACUUCUGAAUGUUGACCUCGGAUCAGGUAGGAAUACCCGCUGAACUUAAGCAUAUCAAUAAGCGGAGGA